rnacentral:rRNA from 1 species
AUUGAACGCUGGCGGCAGGCCUAACACAUGCAAGUCGAACGGUAACAGGAAACAGCUUGCUGUUUCGCUGACGAGUGGCGGACGGGUGAGUAAUGUCUGGGAAACUGCCUGAUGGAGGGGGAUAACUACUGGACACGGUAGCUAAUACCGCAUAACGUCGCAAGACCAAAGAGGGGGACCUUCGGGCCUCUUGCCAUCGCAUGUGCCCAGAUGGGAUUAGCUAGUAGGUGGGGUAACGGCUCACCUAGGCGACGAUCCCUAGCUGGUCUGAGAGGAUGACCAGCCACACUGGAACUGAGACACGGUCCAGACUCCUACGGGAGGCAGCAGUGGGGAAUAUUGCACAAUGGGCGCAAGCCUGAUGCAGCCAUGUCGCGUGUAUGAAGAAGGCCUUCGGGUUGUAAAGUACUUUCAGCGGGGAGGAAGGGAGUAAAGUUAAUACCUUUGCUCAUUGACGUUACCCGCAGAAGAAGCACCGGCUAACUCCGUGCCAGCAGCCGCCGUAA